rnacentral:rRNA from 1 species
GUUCGCCGCUCGCGACUCGGCGACAAGUCCAUUGAACCUUAUCAUUUAGAGGAAGGAGAAGUCGUAACAAGGUUUCCGUAGGUGAACCUGCGGAAGGAUCAUUG